rnacentral:rRNA from 1 species
AGCGAACGCUGGCGGCAGGCUUAACACAUGCAGGUCGAGCGGGCGUAGCAAUACGUCAGCGGCAGACGGGUGAGUAACGCGUGGGAACGUACCUUUUGGUUCGGAACAACACAGGGAAACUUGUGCUAAUACCGGAUAGCCCUUACGGGGAAAGAUUUAUCGCCGAAAGAUCGGCCCGCGUCUGAUUAGCUAGUUGGUGAGGUAAUGGCUCACCAAGGCGACGAUCAGUAGCUGGUCUGAGAGGGUGAUCAGCCACAUUGGGACUGAGACCCGUCCCAGGCUCCUGCGGGAGGCAGCAGUGGGGAAUAUUGGAGAAUGGGGGCAACCCUGAUCCGGCCAUGCAGCGUGAGUGAUGAAGGCCCUAGGGUUGUAAAGCUCUUUGGUGCGGGAAGAUAAUGACGGUACCGCAAGAAUAAGCCCCGGCUAACUUCGUGCCAGCAGCCGCGGUAACAC